GCCGGCGUGGAGCCUAGGCGGCCGGCCCGUGGGUGCCGGCCGCGGGAGGAAGUGUGGGGCGGGCCUCGAUCGCCGACUGACCCCGCUCUGAACGUUGCAGAGACACGAGGCGCAGACACGGGUGGAGCUGAAAUGAGCUUCACGAAGUUGUCGUUGAGGGCGAUGCUGGCUUUAGCAUCGAAGAUGGAUGAGUGGGUAUCGGUGACAAAGUCCGUGGAGACAACCUGGGUGUCAGAAUUUAGAAGGUAAGCGUGGGUCGCAGAGCAAGGACCUCCAAAAGCUCAGGCUCUGACUCUCAGGCAUAUUGGCCAUCCAUUCAUGUACAGUAUUUGACGGAGCCCUACUGUGUCCAGGCUCUGGGGAGGAGGUAUGAGGAAGGCACAUGGGGGCUUUGCUGGUGGGGGAGUGGCCAAAGGACACAGGCCACAAACACCCUGAUGCUGCACCAAUAAGUAUCAUUUUCUGGGAAUACUGCAGGUACUUGGAAUGGCUGGCACAGAGGCCCUUGAGGGGAGGCGUGGAGGCUGGAUCUGGAUGACUUAGGAGGGGCUGGCCAAGUCAGGCCCUCAGCAGUAUCUGAGGUGGAAGGGCUGCAACACAGGGAGGGGCUCGGAGGAUUUUGACCCUGGUGUGGUGGAAGGCCACAGGAAGUUUUGCAGCAGUGGGGAGGACGUGAUCUGAUUUUGUUAAAACAAGAGGUCCAGGUGGCGGUGUGAGGGUGGACCUGCAGGAGCUAAAGCAGGAAGACAGCACCAGAGAUGACAUUACUGGGAGUAAAGGGACAGUGACAUCCACUCCUCACAGGGAAGGCAGCUGGCCAUGAGCAAGUGUUGAAAAAUGGGAUCUGUUGUCUUCUUCACUAAGCAUGUAUUGAGUAUCUGCUGUGUGCCAGGCCCUGGGAAGAUGGCUGGAACUAUGGAUGUAAAAAGAGUCCCCAAGUCCUUGCUUUCUUGGAGUGCACAUGUUAGCAGGACCAACAAUGACUACAAAGUGAAAUUUCAGAGGUAGUGUUUUCUCCACUCUAGCCGCUGGAGAAAAGCUGCUGCACUAGGAAGGUCUAGCCUGGAGGAGCUUCAGCAACGAAGCAUCACCUAGAGCAUCAAAGUGAUGUGAAACCCAGCCCGCCGAGCUUCUCAAGCAGCCGCGACUGUGCUCAGAGAUGUCCACUCGAAACCCGGCCCCUGCUUUUACCCUUCCAUCGCGCGCGAGCGGCGCACAGCCCACGCGGAGGGGGGCGGUUCCCGUCCCCACCGCCAUGGCCAUAGAAACCACUUUGCCAACAAACCCGGGGCCGACAGGGGUGAGACUGGAGGGAAGCUGCUCCGGAUGGAAGAGACCGCGCCUCCUCCCCCCUCCCUCGCGGAAGCGAGAUCCGAUCAGGCGAGCGCUGCUCCUUGACCCCAUUCCCUUUCCCUCCCCGAGGGAGUUCCGGCGCCUCCCUCACCCUGGCAUUGUGGUCGCAGCAG